GUCUAUGGCCAUACCACCCUGAAUGUGCCUGAUCUCGUCUGAUCUCGGAGGCUAAGCAGGGUUGGGCCUGGUUAGUACUUGGAUGGGAGAAAGUAACUGUGCUUUCUUCU
rnacentral:rRNA from 1 species